UGGGAAACGAUGUGGGAAGGCAUAGACAGCUAGGAGGUUGGCUUAGAAGCAGCCAUCCUUUAAAGAAAGCGUAAUAGCUCACUAGUCAAGUCGGCCUGCGCGGAAGAUUUAACGGGGCUAAGCUGUAUACCGAAGCUGCGGAUGCUUAUAUUUAUAUAGGCAUGGUAGAGGAGCGUUCUGUAAGCCUGCGAAGGUGUUCUGUAAGGAAUGCUGGAGGUAUCAGAAGUGCGAAUGCUGACAUGAGUAACGAUAAGGGGAGUGAAAAACUCCCCCGCCGAAAACCCAAGGUUUCCUGCGCAACGCUAAUCGGCGCAGGGUUAGUCGGUACCUAAGGCGAGGCCGAAAGGCGUAGUCGAUGGAAAACAGGUUAAUAUUCCUGUACCGCGCAUGACUGCGAUGGGGUGACGGAGAAGGCUAGACAAGCAGGGCGACGGUUGUCCCUGUUUAAGCGUGUAGGCUGAGAUCUUUGGAAAAUCCGGGAUCUCUUAAGGCUGAGACGUGAUGACGAGCACCAUUAGGAGCGAAGUUGUCGAUGCCAUGCUUCCAGGAAAAACCUCUAAGCUUCAGGUCAUGAGUGGCCGUACUCCAAACCAACACAGGUGGGUGGGAUGAGAAUUCUAAGGCGCUUGAGAGAACUCGGCUGAAGGAACUAGGCAAAAUGGAUCCGUAACUUCGGGAGAAGGAUCGCCCUUGCUGGUUAUUAGAUUUACUCUAAGAAGCUAGUGAGGGUUGCAAUAAAUUGGUGGCUGCGACUGUUUACUAAAAACACAGCACUCUGCAAACUCGUAAGAGGACGUAUAGGGUGUGACGCCUGCCCGGUGCCGGAAGGUUAAUUGAUGGGGUUAUCUUCGGAGAAGCUCUUGAUCGAAGCCCCGGUAAACGGCGGCCGUAACUAUAACGGUCCUAAGGUAGCGAAAUUCCUUGUCGGGUAAGUUCCGACCUGCACGAAUGGCGUAACGAUGGCCACACUGUCUCCAGCCGAGACUCAGUGAAAUUGAAAUCGCGGUUAAGAUGCCGCGUACCCGCGGCUAGACGGAAAGACCCCGUGCACCUUUACUACAGCUUCGCACUGAACUUUGAAUCUAUCUGUGUAGGAUAGCUGGGAGACUUUGAAGCGUGAUCGCCAGAUUGCGUGGAGUCAACCUUGAAAUACCAGCCUGGUAUAUUUGGAGUUCUAACCUAGGUCCAUUAUCUGGAUCAGGGACCGUGUGUGGUGGGUAGUUUGACUGGGGCGGUCUCCUCCGAAAGAGUAGCAGAGGAGCGCGAAGGUACCCUCGGCACGUUUGGAAAUCGUGCUAUGAGUGCAAUGGCAUAAGGGUGCUUGACUGCGAGACAGACACGUCGAGCAGGGUCGAAAGACGGUCAUAGUGAUCCGGUGGUUCUGUAUGGAAGGGCCAUCGCUCAACGGAUAAAAGGUACGCCGGGGAUAACAGGCUGAUACCGCCCAAGAGUUCAUAUCGACGGCGGUGUUUGGCACCUCGAUGUCGGCUCAUCUCAUCCUGGGGCUG
rnacentral:rRNA from 1 species